AGGUGCUGCAUGGCCGUCGUCAGCUCGUGUCGUGAGAUGUUUGGUUAAGUCCAGCAACGAGCGCAACCCCUGUUGCCAGUUACCAGCACGUGAAGGUGGGGACUCUGGCGAGACUGCCCAGAUCAACUGGGAGGAAGGUGGGGACGACGUCAGGUCAGUAUGGCCCUUAUGCCCAGGGCUGCACACGUACUACAAUGCCCAGUACAGAGGGGGCCGAAGCCGCGAGGCGGAGGAAAUCCUAAAAACUGGGCCCAGUUCGGACUGUAGGCUGCAACCCGCCUACACGAAGCCGGAAUCGCUAGUAAUGGCGCAUCAGCUACGGCGCCGUGAAUACGUUCCCGGGUCUUGUACACACCGCCCGUCACAUCAUGGAAGCCGGUCGCACCCGAAGUAUCUGAAGCCAACCGCAAGGAGGCAGGGUCCUAAGGUGAGACUGGUAACUGGGAUGAAGUCGUAACAAGGUAGCCGUAGGGGAACCUGCGGCUGGAUCACCUCCUU
rnacentral:rRNA from 1 species